CAUAACCCCCCCUCCACUCUUCUCUCUCUCUCUCUCUCUGACUCUGAAGCUCUCCAAUGGAGCAUAGAUUAGCGAACACAUCGCAUCUCACGCUGAACCAGAAGAAGUUCAUCGAGACCGCUCUACUCGCCGACCUCCGAGCCGACGGCCGCCGGCCCUUCGACUACCGUAACCUCACCAUCAAGUUCGGCAAAGAAGAGGGCUCGGCGGAGGUCCAGCUGGGCCAAACUCACGUAAUGGCCAUCAUCACUGCCCAGCUUGUCCAGCCCUACCGCGACAGGCCCAAUGACGGCACUCUCUCCAUCUUCACUGAGUUCUCCCCAAUGGCCGACCCUUCCUUUGAGCCAGGCCGCCCCGGCGAGUCUGCCGUCGAGCUCGGCCGCGUAAUCGACCGCGGUCUUAGGGAAAGCCGAGCGGUUGAUACAGAAUCACUUUUUGUUCUUUCAGGGAAGUUAGUUUGGGCUAUUCGUGUUGAUCUCCAUAUUUUAGAUAAUGGAGGAAACCUUAUUGAUGCUGCUAACAUUGCAGCAUUGGCUGCUUUGUUGACGUUCCGGAGGCCUGAAAUCUCCUUGGGGGGAGAGGAUAGUCAGGAAGUGACUGUACAUCCACCUGAGGAGAGGGAGCCACUUCAUCUGAUCAUACAUCAUCUCCCAAUAGCAGUAACCUUUGCAUUCUUCAAUUAUGAGAGUAGUGUGGUGAUAGAUCCAACCCAUGAGGAAGAGGCUUUUAUGGGGGGGCGAAUGACUGCGACAAUUAAUGCAAAUGGAGAUGUUUGUGCUAUUCAAAAAGCUGGAGGGGAGGGUGUCUUGCAGAGUGUUAUAAUGCAAUGUUUGCGAAUUGCUUCUGUUAAGGCUGGUUCUAUGACAGAGAAGAUCAAGAAGGCGGUUGAUUCAUACAACACAGAAAGAGCAUUUCGGAAGAUCAAGCGCCAUACGUCUUCUGUCCCCAUGGAUGUUGAUAGAGGUGCUUCUAAUAUAGGUGUGCAGCAAAACUCUUCUUCUGUUAAUCAUAUGGAGAGAUUAAAGCGGAUGUCUGAGGAAGGAGUUGCAAAUCAAAGUGAGGGUGCUGCAGGUGAAACUGAAUUAUCAGAAAAAAGACAAACUAAUAAGGGUAAUGAAGAUGCGAAGAAUUUUACUGGAGGCCCCUCAAGUUGGGAUCCUUACUCAAAUGGUGUUGAUUCAAAUAUUUUAAAAGCUUCCCAUGCUACUCUAUCGUGUCUUCACCUAUAAGAGAAAGAAAUUACCAUUGGAUGUCGAUGCCUAAUCAGAAACCAGAGGACUCAAAAGGUGAGGAAACAACCAGUGAAGCCAUGCCAGAGGAACCUCCUGAAGAUAUUAAUCCAAUGCCUUCAUCCAUUGAGGGAGCUGAAACCGCAGAGCGAACAAAUGGAGAGAAAACCUUGAAGGAUGCUGUGAAGCCCAAGAACAAGAGACCUAGGAAAAAGAACGGCUCCUCUACUGGUCCAAGCUAGAUGGAUUUUUUCUCAUCGCAUAUACUUAGGUGUUGCAGUUCUCGUUGGAACUCAUGGCAGGGAAAAGGAGUAGGUAAGUCUCUGGUCGACUGCAAAGUGAUGCGGGGGUAUACAUAUAUGACGAGUAAGUUGAGAUGCUGCUCAAUUGUUUCUAAUGCAGUUGUUCAUGUAGCGGAUCAGUGUAGUCUUGUUUUGUCUGCUCUUUGUAGAUUUGUAGUGCAAAUUGUACAUGAGCGAGGUUACCGAAAUUACUCAAAUUUUGUUGUUGCACACUUGAAAAUGAUAAUUCCCUUCAUGUUUGAGCGAGGUUUCGACUA